AUUGAACGCUGGCGGCAUGCCUUACACAUGCAAGUCGAACGGUAACAGGUCUUCGGAUGCUGACGAGUGGCGAACGGGUGAGUAAUACAUCGGAACGUGCCUAGUAGUGGGGGAUAACUACUCGAAAGAGUGGCUAAUACCGCAUGAGAUCUACGGAUGAAAGCAGGGGAUCGCAAGACCUUGUGCUACUAGAGCGGCCGAUGGCAGAUUAGGUAGUUGGUGGGAUAAAAGCUUACCAAGCCGACGAUCUGUAGCUGGUCUGAGAGGACGAUCAGCCACACUGGGACUGAGCAACGGCCCAGACUCCUACGGGAGGCAGCAGUGGGGAAUUUUGGACAAUGGGCGCAAGCCUGUUCCAGCAAUGCCGCGUGCAGGAUGAAGGCCUUCGGGUUGUAAACUGCUUUUGUACGGAACGAAAAGCCCUGGGUUAAUACCCUGGGGUCAUGACGGUACCGUAAGAAUAAGCACCGGCUAACUACGUGCCAGCCGCCGCGGUAAGAC
rnacentral:rRNA from 1 species